rnacentral:rRNA from 1 species
AACGCGAAGAACCUUACCCGGGUUUGAAUUGCAGUGGUUGUAGUCGGUAGAGAUAUCGGUGAGGGGGCAACCCCGCUGCUGUGAAGGUGCUGCAUGGCUGUCGUCAGCUCGUGCCGUGAGGUGUUGGGUUAAGUCCCGCAACGAGCGCAACCCUUAUCCUUAGUUGCCAGCAAGUAAAGUUGGGCACUCUGGGGAGACUGCCGACACAAGUCGGAGGAAGGUGGGGAUGACGUCAAGUCCUCAUGGCCUUUAUGUCCAGGGCUACACACGUGCUACAAUGGUCGGUACAAACCGUCGCAAACCCGUGAGGGGGAGCUAAUCGGAAAAAGCCGGCCUCAGUUCGGAUUGGAGUCUGCAACCCGACUCCAUGAAGCUGGAAUCGCUAGUAAUCGCGGAUCAGAACGCCGCGGUGAAUACGUUCCCGGGCCUUGUACACACCGGCUAC